rnacentral:rRNA from 1 species
GAGUAAUGUAUAGGAAUCUACCUAGUAGUACGGAAUAAUUGUUGGAAACGGCAACUAAUACCGUAUACGCCCUACGGGGGAAAGAUUUAUCGCUAUUAGAUGAGCCUAUAUUAGAUUAGCUAGUUGGUAAGGUAAUGGCUUACCAAGGCAAUGAUCUAUAGCUGAUCUGAGAGGAUGAUCAGCCACACUGGAACUGAGAUACGGUCCAGACUCCUACGGGAGGCAGCAGUGGGGAAUNUUGGACAAUGGGCGAAAGCCUGAUCCAGCCAUGCCGCAUGAGUGAAGAAGGCCUUUGUGUUGUAAAGCUCUUUCGGUGAGGAAGAUAAUGACGGUACUCACAGAAGAAGUCCUGGCUAACUCCGUGCCAGCAGCCGCGGUAAUACGGAGAGGGCUAGCGUUAUUCGGAAUUAUUGGGCGUAAAGAGCGC